rnacentral:rRNA from 1 species
UACGUAGGGUGCGAGCGUUGUCCGGAAUUACUGGGCGUAAAGAGCUCGUAGGCGGUGUGUCGCGUCGGCCGUGAAAACUUGCAGCUUAACUGUGGGCGUGCGGUCGAUACGGGCAUCACUGGAGUUCGGCAGGGGAGACUGGAAUUCCUGGUGUAGCGGUGAAAUGCGCAGAUAUCAGGAGGAACACCGGUGGCGAAGGCGGGUCUCUGGGCCGAUACUGACGCUGAGGAGCGAAAGCGUGGGGAGCGAACAGG